CCACUGUAUUAACAAGAGGAGAGACAACAGGGCAGGAACUGUUAUUCCAGGCUUAAUUAUUCAUCUUAUACCCAAAAGUGCAGCUAUGAUUAAACUGAAGAGCAGUUAGGCAUUUUCAAAUGGAAGUGACGCUGCAGCAGUGGAGAGAGGCGUAUUUCAAGGGCUUGGAUGAAAGCCCAUUGAAGACAACUGGAAUUUUCUUACUGACUGCUGGAAGACAUUAUUGAAAGGAGGAAACAUUAAGGAUAACAAAACUUAUCUGAAGCUUUCUGCCUGGGGUUUGGGGAUGGGUUAAAUGACUUCUCUUUGUGCUCCCAAUAGGCUUUAGUUUCUCUGACUCUAUGAAACUUAAGGAAACCAUUUGAGCACCAUUCUGAAGGACAAAGAUCUGCAGAUCCCAGGAGGAAGCACAAAAUGGUCCUUUGAAGGGGUUUUCUACUGAGGAGUAAACUUUCUCACCUAGCUCUGAAUUUUCAAAGUAACUUGAGACAAACGUAGGUAAGAGUGAAGUUGGCUAAUUUCUGCCAAAAAGUCAGGCUUCUGGUUGGAAAUAGUCAUUUAAGCCAUAGAAAGGGAGGCUGUUACCUUCGGAGGAUGAGUCAUCCCACCCACUUCAGACACCGCACAUUAGAAGAGGUGACUCAUGCUCUGGAAAUGCCUCCCUUUCUCUUUGCAGCCUGUAGAUGAAGCCUACAUCACUGGCUUAGACAUGUAAAUUUUACUCGGCUAAAACUAGUUAAAAGUAAUCUUUGCUUUGCUGAAGAAGACACAAAUAUUACUGUGCCUCACAGUACUGCAAAGUUUGAUGAUGGACAUCAAGCCACUGCUGUACGAUCCGGCAAGUGGAGCUGCAUGAUGGACCACUGGCCCUAAACAGGACUGAAUUUAGUACUUGCUGCACAUGGAUCAGUUGUCCCAGCCUUAGACUGUAGUCUCAUCUGAACUCUCUUGGGAGACAGCAGCAAUUCUUUCUGUGCUUCCUGCUAUUGGGCAGAGGGUGAGCACUCAGAGCCCAGGUUGUCUUCAAAACCCCCUUCCUCCUCCUCUGCCAUGCCACUUGGCCAUCACGAUGCGUUCUUCCCACCGAGCUCCUCAUCCUUAGACCACUGUCUCUGGAAGGCUUGGCUCGGUGUCUCUGACACCACCAGGACA
rnacentral:lncRNA from 1 species